CUUUACUCUCAAAAACCAAAGUGAAUUUCACUUACUUUCACCAACUACACUUAAAAGACACACUACCAGUAUUCAUACAUUUUUAAUUGAAAUGAGUCAGUUACUUAGAGGAGCGAGAGGGGAAAGAGGCAGAUGCCCAGGAGCCAAGCCACUGCAGUGGCAGGCAGUUGGAGGCAGUUGGAGGCAGAGGCAGAGGCUGAGAAGGGAGGGGGGCAAACGGAGGAGGUCCUAGACCAGACCAGACCAGACAGACCCCAGACCCCAGACCCCAGACCCCAGACCCCAGACCCCAGAGACCAGACCCCAGAGACCAGACCCCAGAGACCAGACACCAGAGACCAGACACCAGAGACCAGACACCAGAGACCAGACACCAGAGACCAGACACCAGAGACCAGAGACCAGACACCAGACACCAGAGACCAGACACCAGAGACCAGAGACCAGACACCAGAGACCAGACACCAGACACCAGACACCAGACACCAGACACCAGACACCAGAGACCAGAGACCAGAGACCAGAGACCAGAGACCAGAGACCAGAGACCAGAGACCAGAGACCAGACCAGACCAGACCAGACCAGAUCCUCCUUCCCCAGCUGCAGAACCACCCCAACGCCCACAACCACAUGCUGCAGGACCCGGGACGUGACUCCUGGCUGUCAAUUCUUAUUUUUACGUGGUGGUGGUGGGGAAAUGUGAGGAUUUCCAAGUGUGGACUGAAGCAAUUAUAGAUUGGAAUAUAAUCCCCUUGGCAGUGCUGAGAGAAUCAGUUUGUUCCUCUUGAACAAUGUGUAGUAAACUGAG
rnacentral:lncRNA from 1 species